UAUUAGAAAUUACUGUAUUUUAAAAAUAACAAUGUUUACUUGUUUAACGAGAACAAAAUUAUAAUAAUCUCUGCCUUCUGAUCCGAAAUGUCUGUCAGAGAUUUAUUAAAAAAUCUUUUUGCUAAUACAAUUCCCUCAAUGUACUUGUUUAAUAAUGAAAUAGAUUUGUAAUUAUGUGAAAAAAACAGUUUAUACAAUUGUAUUUUAUAAUUUGAUUAUUAUAUUCUGUAAUUUAAUCUUGUGGAAUAUAUACUGAAUAUUGUAAAAGAUUCUAACGUCAACAAAUGCUAAAUAUUUCAAUCUGUGAAAUACGGAACUGAAAUAAAAUAUACGCCUGUUACGGCUCUUAUAAUUAAUAAUUUGGAUUAAAGAGGCGAGAAUUUAACUUCGUAAUAGUCUUCCAAAACAAAUAUUUCCUUUAUAACGGAUGAUGUAAGCGGUACAUUUCCGAUAUUUUCAAUUUACACAAGUGUAAAAUAUAAAGUAUAAAUACAGUUCGAAUGUCAAAGAUCGAUCAGUUGCGAUCACAUCGUACAAAGCAUAAGGCAGUCCACUUCCUAAGAACAACGAAAACAUUGACAAGAUGAAGUUCGUUAUUUUCACUAUUUUCGUUAUGAUUGCUAUGGCUGCUCUUCAAGGGAAGCAAGCAGAAACAUUUGCGUAUGAGUGCAUUCCUUUGAGUCUCCCUUGCAGACAAACUAAUGACUGCUGUCGCUAUCUGGAAUGUGUGCCACAUGCUAACAUAUGUGUGCAACAAAAGGUUCGGGAUGAAAACGAUAACAGACCUCUUGGACCAAAAAUGCCAUACUAAUAUGGAUUGGUACUUUAUUAUAUCUGACUACGGCACUACUGUUUUUCAUAUAUAUGUAUAAAAAAGAAGAGUGAGAUAGAGAGUUCUAUAUCACAUGUAACUUCUAAUAAAGACAUUCAAGAGCUAUCAAUA